rnacentral:rRNA from 1 species
UACUGUGGGAGGGCAAGCGUUGUCCGGAAUUAUUGGGCGUAAAGAGCGUGUAGGCGGCCAGAUAAGUCCGCUGUGAAAGUCGGGGGGCUCAACCCUCGAAUGCCGGUGGAUACUGUCGGGCUAGAGUGCGGAAGAGGCGAGUGGAAUUCCUGGUGUAGCGGUGAAAUGCGCAGAUAUCAGGAGGAACACCUAUUGCGAAGGCAGCUCGCUGGGACUAACUGACGCUGAGACGCGAAAGCGUGGGGGAGCAAACAGG